CACGUAGGGGGCGAGCGUUAUCCGGAUUCAUUGGGCGUAAAGCGCGCGCAGGCGGCCGCUCAAGCGGGACCUCUAAUCCCGGGGCUCAACCCCGGGCCGGGUCCCGAACUGGGCGGCUCGCGUCAGGUAGGGGCAGGCGGAAUUCCCGGUGUAGCGGUGGAAUGCGCAGAUAUCGGGAGGAACACCGACGGCGAAGGCAGCCUGCUGGGCCUCGACGGACGCUGAGGCGCGAAAGCCGGGGGAGCGAACAGG
rnacentral:rRNA from 1 species